GCAGUCGAACGCGUUGGCCCAAUUGAUUGAUGGUGCUUGCACCUGAUUGAUUUUGGUCGCCAACGAGUGGCGGACGGGUGAGUAACACGUAGGUAACCUGCCCAGAAGCGGGGGACAACAUUUGGAAACAGAUGCUAAUACCGCAUAAGAACGUUGUUCGCAUGAACAACGCUGAAAAGAUGGCUUCUCGCUAUCACUUCUGGAUGGACCUGCGGUGCAUUAGCUUGUUGGUGGGGUAACGGCCUACCAAGGCGAUGAUGCAUAGCCGAGUUGAGAGACUGAUCGGCCACAAUGGGACUGAGACACGGCCCAUACUCCUACGGGAGGCAGCAGUAGGGAAUCUUCCACAAUGGGCGCAAGCCUGAUGGAGCAACACCGCGUGAGUGAAGAAGGGUUUCGGCUCGUAAAGCUCUGUUGUUAAAGAAGAACACGUAUGAGAGUAACUGUUCAUACGUUGACGGUAUUUAACCAGAAAGUCACGGCUAACUACGUGCCAGCAGCCGCGGUAAUACGUAGGUGGCAAGCGUUAUCCGGAUUUAUUGGGCGUAAAGAGAGUGCAGGCGGUUUUCUAAGUCUGAUGUGAAAGCCUUCGGCUUAACCGGAGAAGUGCAUCGGAAACUGGAUAACUUGAGUGCAGAAGAGGGUAGUGGAACUCCAUGUGUAGCGGUGGAAUGCGUAGAUAUAUGGAAGAACACCAGUGGCGAAGGCGGCUACCUGGUCUGCAACUGACGCUGAGACUCGAAAGCAUGGGUAGCGAACAGGAUUAGAUACCCUGGUAGUCCAUGCCGUAAACGAUGAGUGCUAGGUGUUGGAGGGUUUCCGCCCUUCAGUGCCGGAGCUAACGCAUUAAGCACUCCGCCUGGGGAGUACGACCGCAAGGUUGAAACUCAAAGGAAUUGACGGGGGCCCGCACAAGCGGUGGAGCAUGUGGUUUAAUUCGAAGCUACGCGAAGAACCUUACCAGGUCUUGACAUCCUGCGCCAACCCUAGAGAUAGGGCGUUUCCUUCGGGAACGCAAUGACAGGUGGUGCAUGGUUGUCGUCAGCUCGUGUCGUGAGAUGUUGGGUUAAGUCCCGCAACGAGCGCAACCCUUGUUACUAGUUGCCAGCAUUAAGUUGGGCACUCUAGUGAGACUGCCGGUGACAAACCGGAGGAAGGUGGGGACGACGUCAGAUCAUCAUGCCCCUUAUGACCUGGGCUACACACGUGCUACAAUGGACGGUACAACGAGUCGCGAACUCGCGAGGGCAAGCAAAUCUCUUAAAACCGUUCUCAGUUCGGACUGCAGGCUGCAACUCGCCUGCACGAAGUCGGAAUCGCUAGUAAUCGCGGAUCAGCAUGCCGCGGUGAAUACGUUCCCGGGCCUUGUACACACCGCCCGUCACACCAUGAGAGUUUGUAACACCCAAAGUCGGUGGGGUAA
rnacentral:rRNA from 2 species